rnacentral:rRNA from 1 species
CCUACGGGUGACAGCAGUGAGGAAUAUUGGUCAAUGGACGAGAGUCUGAACCAGCCAAGUAGCGUGAAGGAUGACUGCCCUAUGGGUUGUAAACUUCUUUUAUAUGGGAAUAAAACGUUCCACGUGUGGGAUUUUGUAUGUACCAUAUGAAUAAGGAUCGGCUAACUCCGUGCCAGCAGCCGCGGUAAUACGGAGGAUCCGAGUGUUAUCCGGAUUUAUUGGGUUUAAAGGGAGCGUAGGUGGAUUGUUAAGUCAGUUGUGAAAGUUUGCGGCUCAACCGUAAAAUUGCAGUUGAAACUGGCAGUCUUGAGUACAGUAGAGGUGGGCGGAAUUCGUGGUGUAGCGGUGAAAUGCUUAGAUAUCACGAAGAACUCCGAUUGCGAAGGCAGUUCACUGGACUGCAACUGACAUUGAGGCUCGAAAGUGUGGGUAUCAAACAGGAUUAGAUACCCUAGUAGUC